GGCGGGGUUCCCGAGCGGUCAAAGGGACAAGACUGUAAAUCUUGCGGCUCAGCCUUCGCAGGUUCGAAUCCUGCCCCCGCCA
rnacentral:tRNA from 1 species